AGAAUCUUUUAUGAUGAAGUAUUCACUGAGCACCUUCCACAUACAAGAUAGUGGGCUAGGCACCAGGAAUACAGCAGGAAACACACUAGACAUGGCUCUGCCCUCACGGGGCUUUUCUAAUACCACAGUUCAGUAGAUGAUGAUAUCCUUACUGGACCAGACACACAACCAACUUCAUUUACUCCAGAAUUGGGCUCCACAGUUGCAGCUGUCCUGGGAAGCACAUAGGCUCAGAUUCCAUACCCUGAGUGGUAAGGUCUUGAGCAUUUUGGCUCUUAAUCACUCACUGAAGUAGAAAGAAUCCACCUCCAUGCCCAAGCACUGAGUCCCUGGUGUCAAGCCCGAGUGACCAACUGAGAAUGCACUUGCCCUUCAGAAACAUUCAGAAGCUCAUUAAUGAAGUCACUGUAGAGGAGUUUGAACAAGAAAACUGCUGUCUCAGGCAUCAAAAACUACAAUGACCAUUUAUAAGAUCUCUGACACCUGCUUAUCCCAAAGAAACAUCCCUGAAAAUCCUGUUACCAAUACCUUCCCUGGAUAACCUCCAGAAUCUCUUAUACACCCACAGAAACUUCCUGUGUUUUUUUUCUCCAAGCCUUUCUGGGAGUCCUAUUGGAGCCCUUACAAGCUUCAAGCUUCAGGUCUGAGGUGAUAUGUGCCAAUAAGGUGGAAGGAAUUGAGAGGAGUUGAAAAUUUGGAGUUUCUCAGAGCAACUGGAGCACGUUCAGACAGAUUUAGUGCAGCUGUGUCCACUCGACACAAAUAUCCAGCUGUUUCUAACUACCUAGAGCAUUGUCUAUCCAUGCAUUGUCUAUGAAUUUUUUGCUUUCCAACUAUUACCAACAAUAUUCUUUAAGAUUAAAUAAAAGACUGGUAGAAUCUUGGCCAGACAUGUACCAAGGAAUUUUUCAAAGAAGUUGGGAACUUGGAGCACCCCUCAGAAUCCUCAUUGGUAUGUAGCCCCUGGAGUGCCACAGAUGAUGCUGGUUCCCAAUGACUAAACCACCUGAGCCAAUGGAGCCACGUGGUGGCUUGAACUGAGGAGAUGCUGAGAAAAUUCUCAGGCUUCUCCUUUCUCCCACAAAGACACUCAUGCUUAAUACAAGUUUGAAUCAAGAAUUGUUUCCUCCCCUACAUCUGACCCUGAGUGUGACCUUUAAACUUUAUUUGAUCUCAGAAACUUUGAGAAUCUUAUAAAACCUAUGGACCUUCUAAAAAUGCUCACAGGUUCAUACACAAAAAUUUCAGGAAGUUCACAGCCCCUAACCUGAUGAAAGUCUAUCAACAGACAUCUUACAAACUCUUCCUCUGAACUUUUAAGAACGCUUAUCUUGGAGCAGUUUUUCCUCAAAAUUGAAUAAUGGAUAAAUCCCUCUGAAAGGGGGGAAAAUAUAUUUCAAAUUCCA